AUUGAACGCUGGCGGCAGGCCUAACACAUGCAAGUCGAGCGAGAGGAGGACGGGUGUGUAAUGUAUGGGGCCUGCCCGACAGAGGGGGAUAACUACUGGAAAAGGUAGCUCAAACAGCAUAAUAUCGGAUAAACCAUAUGGGAUUAGCUCGUAGGUGAGGGAAUUGGCAACCUAGGAGACGAUCCCUAGCUGGUCUGAGAGGAUGAUAAGCCACACUGGGAUGGAGACACGGCCCAGACUCCUACGGAGGCAGCAGUGGGGAAUAUUGCACAAUGGGGGCAAGCCUGAUGCAGCCAUGCCGCGUGUAUGAAGAAGGCCCUAGGGUUGUAAAGUACUUUCAGUCGGGAGGCGUUACCGACAGAAGAAGCACCGGCUAACUCCGUGCCAGCAGCCGCGGUAAUAC
rnacentral:rRNA from 1 species